UCAUAUUCCGAUAGUGGUACGGGAGGAAUUGCUCGAGUUGGCAGCUCACUUCUUAGUUUACUCAAAUUGGCACUCCACGAGAGUGGGACAGAUAUAUGUAGGUGUUGCUGAGCUCGGUCUCGGCAGUUACUGAGAGAGAACGAGAUGCCAUGAAGGCCUUUAAUGAAAAAGAAGUGUAUGUAUGUGUGCUGGCGUUUGUGAGCAAUGAGGAAAAAGCAGCUAAAAGUGCCAGACGAUAUAAAGAGAGAGCAAUUAAAUUGAAAGGGAAGAGCCACAGAAUAGAAACUUGUUGGAGAGCGUAGUUUAUAUUGUCUAUAAAUAAAGAAAGUAAACGUUAUGAGUAAAGUACAUAUGUAUGUAUGUAUAUAUGUAAAUACUGUGUGUAUGUUAAGUAAUAUAACAAAUGAUCCUAAAAAGUAAACUUUCUUCAGAAUCUUCCAAAUUAAUAGCAGUCUAGUAUAAAUAGUUUCGGAAAUAAUACAAAUGUAAUGCUCCGAAUUCACAUUUUCGAUAGCAACACUACAUGGAGUUCCGAUGCUAACUCCUAAUUCAAUUGCAAUGACUGUUAUAAAAAUAUAAAUAUAAAACGCAUUUAGAAUAAAAACUAUUUUGGAAUUGAAUAUUCAUUUACAAUAAAUUUAAAUCAAUGCCAUAUUUUCAUCACGUCAACUCCAAAUCGCUUAAUUUCAUGCGACGGCAUAUGCAUGUAUGUAUGUAUGUGCAUAGAAACACUGUUACGCCGACUCGCAUAGUCGAAUCACCUGUGUUCAUGGAUUUACGUCAGUGAAAUACAGACAGAAAGAAAAAAAAAAAAAUCAAACAAUUUAAAGGCAAUUUUCAUGCAGCGAAACGCAAAAUUCGUGCAGAUGAUAUGCUUCCGGCGCAGCUCAUGUUGCGGAAUAUCUUAUCCCGUAGUUGUAGUUUGUUUGUGUUGCCUUUGGUAUUGUUGUUGCUGUCGCUCUUUCUGUUGCCAUUUGGUUUCGGCCCAGUGGGCCACUCUCCGUGUGGCAAUACGUAGUAUUUAUCCAUCACUGACAAUGUCAAAUAUAUUACCCAUGAUGAAUGACUUUGCGGAUUUGAUGAAUGUGUUUUGUGGCUUUUCGCCUCUACCAUAAACGAACAUCUGUGUGUGUGUGCCGAAAUAAAAGAUAUAUGUAUGUAUGUUAGAGAGCAAAAAGGAAAGUAAAUCUGCACAUGAUUUAUAAAAUUUCAAUGGCAUAGAAUGCAGAUAUGUCAAUUCAGACAAUGGGCCAGACAGCCAGCCCCAAGCACAUGUGGCUCCACACUUAUCUCAUGCCAGGCCAACUUCGUACUACUACUAUCCACAAAACAAGCUGAUAAUAUUUAUGUACAUAUGGUGUAAAUGCUAAAUAAAUAAACUGUUAUCAGCAUUAUAAUGGAGUGGACCUAUUAAAGCAUGCGUACGCACAGUGGCUGCUGGAAGUAACGUCCCGGCAGCUGAAGUCACUCCUCCGUGUCGCCCGCAUCAAAGGAGUCGAAUAAAUUACUCGGCAAAGAAAGGCACGUUCCUGUAAUAAUGGCUGGUCAAUUUUAAUGAGUAUACGUAGAGGCACGCACAUGCUUAAUAUGGCACCAACCGACAGACAGACAGAGAGAGAGAGAGAGCAGGAGAGAGAGAGAGUGUGUCAGAGAGGGAGAGACAAAGAAGAAAGUGGAGCCGAGGCCAUUGGCUGAUAAGUUCAUUGCGCCAAUUGAAGGAGUUUUCUGCCGGCGUCUCUGUCAGUAACGGCUCGUCCUUUCAGAAGAUGUCAGUGCACAAGUUAUAUGUGUAUGUGUGAGCGUGUGCGGCAAAAGAAAAAUGCUGUGGUAAUUACAUUAACAGCAGCGCCGUCGGCCAUAGAUCAUGCACUUAGUUGCAUACGUUUCGAAGCUAUUUGCCAUGAUUUAGAGCAUUGGAUCAGAGGAGAGCUACGAUGAUGGCUGCAUAGAGAUGUCCAGGAGGUACAGCCGCAUAGCGACAUGCCCUUAGAGUUGUCCGUGCGGGUGUGAGGCGUACGUUGGGGGUCACAAGUGCGUUUAAUGAUUCGAGGCUAGUACGCUGGGCCAUGGGCUGGCCAUUAAGUACAGACUCGGCCAUGUUUUAUGGCCACGCAACAUGGUUUGACGAUAAAUAGAACCCAAAAAUAAAUGAAAAAAGAACGCAAUUUUUA